rnacentral:rRNA from 1 species
AUGCUUGGAAGCAUCGACUGCAUGCAUUGGAAAUGGAAGAAUUGCCCAUUUGCUUGGCAGGGGAUGUACAAAGGCGCCAAAGGCGGUUGCAGUGUGGUACUUGAGGCGGUGGCCACACAGGACCUCUGGAUUUGGCACUCCUUCUUUGGUAUGCCAGGAACUCACAAUGACAUCAACGUGCUGCAGUGCUCUCCUGUCUUUGCCAAGCUUGUUGAAGGUCAUUCUCCUCCGGUGAACUUCGAGAUCAAUGGGCGGCACUACAACAAGGGGUACUAUCUAGCUGAUGGCAUCUAUCCGAGAUGGUCGACAUUUGUGAAGACCAUCAAAAACCCUGUGCCUGGAGGCAAGAACGCCUGGUUUGCGAAGAUUCAGGAGGCUUGCAGGAAGGAUGUCGAGCGGGCAUUUGGUGUGCUCCAAUCUCGAUUUGCUGUUGUCCGGUACCCCGCUCAGACCUGGUCGAAAGAUCAAAUGUGGGAGAUCCUGACCUGCUGUGUCAUCUUGCACAACAUGAUCAUUGAGAACGAGCAGGAAGAGCCAGUGUUUGACACUGAACCAUACCACAGGCAGGGUCCUCUUGCCCAAGUUGAUCACCAGCUACCGGCAACCUGGACUGCCUACCUCAGUAUGCGUCAGGAGAUCCGAGACCCACAGGUGCAUCAUCAACUGCAGCAAGAUCUGAUAGAGCACCUAUGGAGGCUCAAGGGCGACACCGGGCGCGACGUGUGA